rnacentral:ncRNA from 2 species
CUUAAUUAUCAGGAAUUUUUCUAAAAACAAGUAGAAAAAUAGCAACCUGCAACAACAAGCAAGGUGCUGCAAACGAUAAGCCAGUAAUGGAAAAAAUGUUGUAUAU